AGUUGUAUCCCGUACUUUUAAAAAGAAGAAUUGAGUAUUUCAGUUUGGCGCUUUAUCUUGUAAACACGUUUGUUUAUAAUCUGGGGGGAACUGUAAACAUUGCUUUUAAGUAUUUAGUAGCUCAACACGGUAGCGUUUCUCUGGUUUUCAGUAGAACACCGUCCGAGGCUGGUCGUGCACCUUGGCUCGGUGUGUUUUAGAGAACAGUUCUGCAACAAAACAAGAAUUAAAAAUCAUUUAACGAGGGUGGGUGGAGGUGCCUCAAGAUGUCAGCGAGAUUUGUUAACCAGUGCUCCCUUGCCUCCCAUGCAGCGUCCAGAAUGAGGUACAGCGCGGAUGAGAUGUUUUCCGUUUAAAUCCGCGUAUGUAGAGUUCACAAAUCGCAAAAAAAGCGUUUCGCACUUUUCCCUAACGCUGGAUGACUUUAAACGGGCUUGAAUAAUUUUCGUUUACGUGAAAUAAACACCCUCACACAUUUAUCGCAGCAACUUCUUUAUUUAUGUUUUUUUAUUUUGAGAAACGAAUUCGGGCAAGUUAUUCUGAAUUGAACCAUCCAUUUUCAAGGGAGAUCGAGAUGCUGGGUGAAUUUUCCACUAGAACUACAAACCAACUUUGGCUUUUUCUGUGUACAUACAUGGAUUAGGCGGUAACUAAUUUUAACAUAACUUAAACGAAGUUAGAAGUUUCAGUCUUUGCUUGGAUUGUAUUUUAAGAGCAAUAGUUACUUCAGAAUGCUUCCAGUGCCGUGGCUGGAGGUCGGGAACCUUGUAUCCUGAACCGUGAAAUUAAAUGGGAUCCGAUUGGAUUUUUGCAUACUGAUUGGCAAGCCCAUGACAUCACUGCGUUAUACCCCUCCUCCCUCUCUUUACUGUUUGCAGCCAGAAUCUCUGUCUAUUUCCAUGUAUCUUCAGUCGCCCCCCCCCCUCCCUGUUUUUUUUGGUGGUUAAUGUAACAUACUUUAUUCGUGCAAACAACAAAACAAAACUGGAGAAGGGCAGAAGGAAGUCUUAAAACAAGAGGUUUUUGUUUUUUUUUUUGCAAAUAAAGGGACGUCGGAGUAUUAACGGCGAGGACAGUAUGAACACCACCCCACCCCCUCUCCUUUUUACUUGUCCUUUUUGGUUGUGAAAGGAGUGAUUCCGGGCGAAGGGGAUGGAAAGGCAGCGGUGCUCGAAGUUGCCGCACUCGCUACAUUGUUACCGCCCAGCGCUACAUUGUAGAACGUUCGGACAUUGUUUUCAGAGAUCUUCUGUGCUUGGGAGCUCAAUCCAGUGUGGCUGCUCUCCAAACUACAGAUGCCUCCAAGAAUUUGUGAUCUCUUCGCAAGCCGAACAUCGCCAAGGAGGAGAAGUCCAGUGAAUGACAUGUCUGAAGUAGAUUGGAGGUGUGCAUGGAACAGGAGCUCUUGGUCACCAGAUCCAAUAUCGUGCAAAGAAACAUCUUUGAAUGGUGAUUUGUUUAAACCACCAAAGCUGUGAAUGACACAGGUAACAUUUAACUUGCUGUCAAAGGUUACGCCAUGGUGGAUUGGUUCAUAACCCAGCGUGUGCUGAGCCAACCUCUACUUCAGGCAGAGCAUCGAUUUCCUAACUGAUGAUGGCAGUGAAUCUUUGAUGAUAUUGGCUAUAGUUCCCACUCCCAUUGUCUGUGAACCAGAACAGGAGUGAGUCGAAAGAGUGCAGCAAACAGCACCCGGUGAACCUGUCGCUGAAGCAUUGGGAUUUCUGAAGAGUCGACCAGUGAAUUAUCGGAGUUUUGAUUUGUUUAGUUUAGAGAUACAGGGCCUUGGCCCGCCUAGUCCGCAGCGACCAACCAUCACACGUAAACUUGUUCUAUCCUACACACUGGGGACAAAUUACAGGCACCAAUUAACCUACAAACCUGCACAUCUUUGGAACA